CUUCACGUUUUCUCUCCCUGUUGUCGGUGAGACAAAGUCCCUGGGCUUCGGCAACUCUUCCCCUGGAAUGGGCGCAGUGAGAACCGUGUCGGCCGUUUACCUUCCACGCAUGAUGGCUGGUACGGCGGCCGCCGUCUUCAUUUACUACUCCCCGCGAGUCGCUCUGGCGGCGGCCGCCGUCGGCGGAAGCCCUUUCCUCUGAGUCGCUUUCCAGCGUCCCGACUCCGGCCACCUGGAGGGAGUGGUGGCGGAGCCGUUGCCUUGGAAACGAGUAAACUUCCGGCGUGGUGCGGUAAUUUCCGAUUGCUCAUUGAUACGUCACUUCCUACUUCCUUCCUUUCACCUUUUUCAAGGCUUUGCUUUUGGAGCGGUGGGAAGUAGGUGUGGAUCAGUUUUCGGUGAGAUUUUUGAUCCGUCUUGAAGAACCUAUCGAAGCCUGAGGUUCAUCUUGAGAACAGCUUGUCAUCCAUCUCGCCCUCUAUCGCUCAGCGACCCAAAUGGAGGCCCCAGGACUGCAGUCUGCGUAGGUGACCUGUGUAGCGCGGGCCGGGUGGGGCCUUUUCGUCCUUGGCAAACCUAAUAUACUUUUUCAGUGCUGAUUGGAAGAAAAUCUGUUCUUAUCCUGUAAUUUCACAAAUAUUGAAAAAGACCUAAGAGAGAAUUUAGCAGCUACAGCCGCUGGCGUUAUUGAGUGCCUACUAAUGCCGGGCUCUGUGAUUAUCUCGCUAGGUGUUAAUCCCCAUUUUACAGGUCAAGACUCAAUAUAUCAGUAAAUUUCUAACGUCGGACAGCAGGUAAGUUGUAAAGCCGGUGUAAAAACACAGGUCAUUCAUUCGUCGAAAGACUGCUCCAGGUCUUCUAACCUCAAAUCCAGAUUUCUUUCACUGUAACAUGUUCCUAUUCAACAAUCUGACUAAAAUCUUUCUCUCCAACUCCAUUGAUUAACACAAUCGCUUCCAUUCACUAUUUGUUGUAAAUUUAUGGGUCAGGUUUUGUGCCAGCAGCAGAAAAUACUAAGAGUUCUCUGCCCUUCAGGGAUAUGGCCCACCUUGCUUCCCCUCUCAGCUGUUUUUUCCACUAUUAAUGCCUUACCACACAUAUCUUCUCCCUUCAAGAAUAAUGAACUGGGGUCCUGGAAACACUUUUUCAUAUAUGUGCUGUGCUGUUCCUACUACCCAAAACUACCCUGCCUCCCCCAUCCCCAAACCCAUCAUCCCACCCUCCAGCUUUGUCCAGAGGACACAUUUGGGGAAUUCUGCAGACACUACCUCUUCUCUUUUGAGGUACAAUUACCUUUCUUGAACAUAGCAUCUUGUAAUUAAUAAUAAAUUUACUGAAUUCAUAAAUCACUCCGCCCCCACUAUAUGAAGUGCUUUAUUUUAGUUUUCUUCUGUAAUUCAUACUGCAGCCUUCCAAAAUAGAUAUUCCUUUUUACAGAUCAAAAAAAAAGGCACAAAAGUUUAUUGCUUAAGGAUACACAGUAAAAAUAUCUGAGUGAAGAGUCCAACUUAGGUCCUUCAGUCUUGCUGCACAUAUUCUCAGAGUCUUAAUUUCCACGAACUAUAUCAAUUAGAUCACUUAUCACCUUUGUAUUGUAAUUGCCUAUUUAACAGUUCUCACUUCCACCCCAACCUCCAGGGGUUCUGAGCUUCUGGAAGGUAGAGACUAUAUCUUAUCCAUCUUGGCAUUCUUAACAUCUGGAAUAUUUACUUCAAGGAAAGGGCUUAGUUGGAAGCUGUUGGGUGGAUGAGUGGGGUGGCUUGAAAGAUUGUCAGGUGGAUGAACAGAUAAAGUUUGAAAAUAAGGUUUUUUUAUUAUUAAAAAGAAGUUUGGGAUUAGUCUUCAUUCCAAUCUGAUUUCAGAAAUGGGGAACUGUGGCCAUUAGUCUUUCAUAUUUAUUGAGUUAUAAAUAUGAGCAAUUUUAUGCUAAAUGGUUCACAGAUACUUUAAACCUAAUCUUUACUAUUAUUUUUAUUUUUACAGAUGAAGAAACAAUUCAGAUUGGCCAAGAUCAAAUAACUAAAAGUUGGGGAGUUGGAACCUACUAAAACUGACUCCAAAUUAAUACAGUGCUUGUAGCCACUUCUGUAAUAAUGGCUGUCCUGGAACUCCUGGGCUCAAGUGAUCCUCCUGCCUCAGCCUCUCCUGGAUACCUGGAACUACAGAUGUGCAUCACCCUGACUGCCCAUGUACUCUUCUCUUUUACUCCCAGGCAUUCUUGUUCUCUCUUUGGUGCUUACCUCCAAAUCCUCUCUGAGGUACCCUGUGAAUACAUUUUGGUUCCUAUUUAACUUAACUUGUCCUCCUCUGCCCAAAAAAAUACCCAUUAUCUCAGGGAACUGACCCCAUUUAGGAUUAGGAGAGAACUUCCAGCUUCACAGAAGUUCAGGCAUUUGACAAAAGCUCUUGACUUUCCAUUUCUGCCUCCAAUUUACCUAUUUAGUCAACUACAUCUUUCUAUUUGCAGGUGUGGUUAGAUAUCUCUUUAGGUUUUCCUGAAUAUUUUUCAUAAACCUCUUUCAGGGUGCUAACUAGUCUGCAAGACCAGCCGGCCAGCCAAAAAAACAUAACUAGAAUAUAGACACCUCCAUUUUGAGUUAAACUGUUACAUAGGAAUUACUAAAUUUGUAAAUUAUAAGUCCUGAUUUUUUUCUUCCCAAUGCUUAUUUUUAACUUGUUUUUUUAACUUACUUUGAGAUUGCUUUGUAUUUUCCAGACCAUCAAAAUUGGAAAAGUUACACUAAGACCAGAUAAUAUUAUAAAGUAGGUAUAAACUUAAUGAAAUGUCUACAUUUUGGGGCAUACACAACAACCUUCCUUUUAUUCUUUUGCAAACUUGAACUCUCAAAUUUCAAAUAUAAUGUUCCACCUUUUCUGGGGCUUCCUUUAGCUUUUCUUGGCGCACUUUUCAGUGUUGAUUACUAAUUCUAGCUCCCAGUGCUGUGUUGAAUAUUAGUUGGUACCAAAAUCUAAGGUGGCUGAUUUCUAAAUUGAUUACUCUAACUGGCUGUUCAUUAGAAUUGACUGCAGAGCUUUCUAAAUAUUUGAGAUGCCCUUGAAUGAGAAUCAACUAAAUGAGACUUGAUAGAUGAGGAAUCUCUUAACUUUCACUGUGAUUCUAAUAGGCAGCUAAAUUUAGGGCAGCGCUAGAUCAUUACCCCACAUCUGGCUUCCCACCUCAGGAAAAAUAGGAAUUGAACUCUGAAUUCCAACAGUAAUUACCAAUGACCAUCUCACAAAAAGCAUUGUCCUUCCUCCAUUCCAAAGUUAGACCCUUACAUUUCAUUAACUCACAUCCACACUAACCUUUGUAUCUAGACUUGGCACCCCAUACUCAGCAGUUAAAGUAUUUCUCAGUCUUACCAUAUAUUUGUGACUUAAUUUGUUGUCUAGCCCAUCCCUUAAAGGUGUUUUUUUUUUUUGUUUUCCCUAUUGCCAAGUUUUUCCUCCUCUACUUUUCUUGCCUUUUUUUUUUUUAAUUGGGAUGUUUCUUUUUGUUUUGCUUCCCUUCCCCCUUUAAAUUUGUGGUUUAUAAUAUUUACAUUCUUCAGGACAGAGUCCAUGUUAAAUCUCUCAUUUUUAACCAAAAAUUUAAUUAUACAUGAAAGUAAGAAUGUAUUUGGGCAGAAUAUACAUACAUAGAGUAUAACUUAAUUCUAUUUAGGUGUGGUCAUACAUGAUGUGGAGUUACCCUGGUCUCUAAUUCUGUUGUCUUUCCUGUUCCCCUUCCUAGUCCCUUUUCCUUGUUUCCCUUUGUCUAAUCCAGUGGGCUUCUAUAUUCUUCCCCUCCCCACCCUCCCUUAUUGUGGUUUAGCAUCCAUAAAUCAGAACAAUUGGCCCUUGGUUUUGGGGAGGAUUGUCUUAUUUCUCUUAGCAUGAAAUAAGAUCUACCCAUUUACCAGCAAAUGCCUUAAUUUCAUUCUUCUUUAUGGCUGAAUAAUAUUCCAUUGUGUGUAUAUACCACAUUUUCUUUACCCAUUCAUCUGUUGAGGGACACCUACAUUGUUCCAUAGCUUGGCUAAUGUGAGUUGAGCUGCUGACAUGAAUAUUUGCCUUCUUUCUUUAGCACUUUUUUUCCCUUAUCUUCCCAGCUGCCAGCUUUUUAUUUCCCAAGGAAUUGUCCUUGGCCCUCUUCUCUCUCUUAUGGAUACACUUGGUAUGCUGAUAGUUUUGAAUAUCACCUUCCUUUUGAACACUCCAUACCUGUGUUUGAUUAAACCUAUGCAGUGUCUCCAGAAAAAUGUAUAACAGAAAAUUCAGCCUACAUUUUUUUAAUUCACAGACCCCCAAAAUUCUUCCAUUGCAGCAUUCAUGUAUACUGAAAUAUAUCACUUUGUUUAACAUGUAUAAUGGCUGCAUGUCCAAGAAAGUUCAUCAUCUAUUUGAAAAUUACCAGGUUUUAGUCAUGAAAAUCAGUUUUUUAGAACACAUGACCCAUUUGAAUCCUUUACAUCUGCUAUUAAUUCUCCAAAAGAUAUCCUUCCUAUCAAUGUGGCUUUCACUUACAGUUAUCCUUGAAGCUCACAUAUUACCAUCUUUGUAAAGUAUUCCUUAACCCACCUCCAGGUGAUUUGGUAUGCCUACUUCUAUCUUAGCAUUUAUCUUGUGUUUUUUAUUUUUAUUGCAUUAGUACUGGAAUAAGACAAAGGCAGGUUCAAAUUUUGUAUAACAUCUGAAGUGAGUAGCUGAAUUUUAUCUAUAAAAUGGAAAUAUCAUCUAUCAUGUAGCAUAGUUUUAAGUAUCAAAGAAAAUACUUAUAGAAAGUCUGCCAGUGCCUACCACAUAGUAAGACCUCAAUAAACAAAUAUGUUUCAGUGUUUUA